ACCCGCUGAACUUAAGCAUAUCAAUAAGCGGAGGAAAAGAAACCAACAGGGAUUGCCCUAGUAACGGCGAGUGAAGCGGCAACAGCUCACAUUUGAAAUCUGGCUCUUUUAGAGUCCGAGUUGUAAUUUGCAGAGGGCGCUUUGGCUUUGGCAGCGGUCCAAGUUCCUUGGAACAGGACGUCACAGAGGGUGAGAAUCCCGUACGUGGUCGCUGGCUAUUGCCGUGUAAAGCCCCUUCGACGAGUCGAGUUGUUUGGGAAUGCAGCUCUAAAUGGGAGGUACAUUUCUUCUAAAGCUAAAUAUUGGCCAGAGACCGAUAGCGCACAAGUAGAGUGAUCGAAAGAUGAAAAGCACUUUGGAAAGAGAGUCAAACAGCACGUGAAAUUGUUGAAAGGGAAGCGCUUGCAGCCAGACUUGCUUACAGUUGCUCAUCCGGGCUUUUGCCCGGUGCACUCUUCUGUAGGCAGGCCAGCAUCAGUUUGGGCGGUAGGAUAAAGGUCUCUGUCACGUACCUCUCUUCGGGGAGGCCUUAUAGGGGAGACGACAUACUACCAGCCUGGACUGAGGUCCGCGCAUCUGCUAGGAUGCUGGCGUAAUGGCUGU
rnacentral:rRNA from 1 species